AUUGAACGCUGGCGGAAUGCUUUACACAUGCAAGUCGAACGGCAGCACGGACUUCGGUCUGGUGGCGAGUGGCGAACGGGUGAGUAAUGUAUCGGAACGUGCCCAGUCGUGGGGGAUAACGUAGUGAAAAUUACGCUAAUACCGCAUACGAUCUAUGGAUGAAAGCGGGGGAUCGCAAGACCUCGCGCGAUUGGAGCGGCAGAUAUCAGAUUAGGUAGUUGGUGGGGUAAAGGCCCACCAAGCCAACGAUCUGUAGCUGGUCUGAGAGGACGACCAGCCACACUGGAACUGAGACACGGUCCAGACUCCUACGGGAGGCAGCAGUGGGGAAUUUUGGACAAUGGGCGAAAGCCUGAUCCAGCCAUGCCGCGUGCAGGAUGAAGGCCUUCGGGUUGCAAACUGCUUUUGUAUAGAACGAAAAGGUUUCUACUAAUACUAGGAGCUCAUGACGGUACUGUAAGAAUAAGCACCGGCUAACUACGUGCCAGCCGCCGCGGUAA
rnacentral:rRNA from 1 species